CCUUCCCUGCUUUGUCUCCCAGCUGUUUUCAGUCUUGAAGAUGUGGUACACGGAAUGUGAACAUCUGUCUCACAUCUCAGCUCUACAGAAGUCCUGCUGUGACAGUGGUGCAGUCCAGCGCAAGCCUGGGCGCCUGCUGGCCAACAUCCAGGAGCUCCUCAGCGUGUCGGGCUGCGGAGAUGCAGCGGUUCAGCUCCAGGGGUGGAGGGCACCGCCAGCCAUGGCAUCGCUGAAACCACACUGGGCAGCGGAGACACCAGAGCAGCUGCCCCACCCCGUGUCCUCAGGAGCCUGUGUGACAGCUGAGUCCUCCAGGCUGGGCGAAAUCGCUCCGUCCUCCACACCGUGAAGAGAUUGAGGACUAAGAAAAAAGGAAGCAAGAAACCCAGAUCACCUGCCUGGAAUCAGAGGAAGACCAAGAAGAACAGGAGAAAAACAGAAACACUCAGGAAGCAAGCUCCUUUCUGUGCACCUGCCUUUUCCUCCGAGAGUACUCCUUUUAAAACCAGAGCCUGGACCUGUGGCUGCAGCAGUAGCACCCUGGGGUGCUGCAGGGGUUCCAGGGUGCCCUGCUCUGUCUGAAAGGAGCCCCCCUGGGAUUGAGAUGAUCAACUGUGAAAUCCUGCUCCUUCUUUAGGUCUUAUCUCAGUGGUUCCCUUUAUGGGGUCUUUCCUGUGCCCUCCAGGCCAGCUAAGGGAAAGGACUUCAUGCGUUUGCUAGGAACUUUCACUGUAAUUCUUGUCACAAAUUGUUAUUUAGGAUUCACUUGGUAGUCCUGCACAUUUACUGCUCUUAGUUUACUACAGUAUAUUAUGUUUUUCUUUUCUUUUCCUUUUUUUUCCUGUAAUUGAAUGCAAAGUCUUUAAUAACAACUUCUCCCAAUAUAAUUUUAACCAAUUCUA